rnacentral:rRNA from 1 species
UGGGGAAUAUUGCACAAUGGGCGCAAGCCUGAUGCAGCCAUGCCGCGUGUAUGAAGAAGGCCUUCGGGUUGUAAAGUACUUUCAGUCGGGAGGAAGGUGGUAAGGUUAAUAACCUUGGCAAUUGACGUUACCGACAGAAGAAGCACCGGCUAACUCCGUGCCAGCAGCCGCGGUAAUACGGAGGGUGCAAGCGUUAAUCGGAAUUACUGGGCGUAAAGCGCACGCAGGCGGUUUCUUAAGUCUGAUGUGAAAGCCCCCGGCUCAACCGGGGAGGGUCAUUGGAAACUGGGAGACUUGAGUGCAGAAGAGGAGAGUGGAAUUCCAUGUGUAGCGGUGAAAUGCGUAGAUAUAUGGAGGAACACCAGUGGCGAAGGCGGCUCUCUGGUCUGUAACUGACGCUGAGGCUCGAAAGCGUGGGGAGCAAACAGG